UGAGAAGCAAAAUGGAGUAAAAAAGAGCAAGAAGGCUUCAGUUGGUUUUGUUUGUUUGUUUGUUUUCCCAGAUUUUCUUCAGACUUCAAGCAGUUCAGGGUGCUUCUGACUUCUAGCUUCAAAAAGGAAGAUAGAAGAGGACAACCUCAUUUCAGAUUUCUAAAGAAUAAGAUUUGGGGAAGACAUGAGAAGAGACAAUAUGAGAAGAGACAUCAUGUCCCUAUCCUUAACUACAUUAGAGAUCACAAGAAGUUUCCUUUGGGGUCAAGUAAUGCAAAUUUCUGGAGGGAAUGUCUUUGCUGAUUCAUCUACUAUUUUUCAAGGUAUUGAGUUUUGUGUUAUUCCAAGAUCCUGGGACACUCAGUUCAAUCUCAGCUUACUUUAUUAUUUUUAUUACCAGAUUACAUGUUGAUACAAUUUUUAAUUUUCAUUUUCUGAUAUUUGAUGUUCCAUAUUGUCUCUAUUCCAUCUCUCCAUCCUCUACAAAAGUCAGGUAAUAUAAUUUUACAUAUAUUAUCAUACUAUACAUAUUUCUGUGGUCUUAAUAUUAUAAAAUAAACCAAAAAUUGCUCACA
rnacentral:lncRNA from 1 species